ensembl:snRNA U6 U6 spliceosomal RNA
GUGCUCGCUUUGGCAGCACAUAUACUAAAAACUGGAACGAUACAGAGAUUAGCAUGGCCCCUGCACAAGGAUGACACGCAAAUUCGUGAAGCGUUCCAUAUUUAA